GAUGAACGCUGGCGGCGUGCCUAAUACAUGCCAGUCGAGCGAACGGACGAGAAGCUUGCUUCUCUGAUGUUAGCGGCGGACGGGUGAGUAACACGUGGAUAACCUACCUAUAAGACUGGGAUAACUUCGGGAAACCGGAGCUAAUACCGGAUAAUAUUUUGAACCGCAUGGUUCAAAAGUGAAAGACGGUCUUGCUGUCACUUAUAGAUGGAUCCGCGCUGCAUUAGCUAGUUGGUAAGGUAACGGCUUACCAAGGCAACGAUGCAUAGCCGACCUGAGAGGGUGAUCGGCCACACUGGAAGUGAGACACGGUCCAGACUCCGACGGGAGGCAGCAGUAGGGAAUCUUCCGCGAUGGGCGAAAGCCUGACGGAGCAACGCCGCGUGAGUGAUGAAGGUCUUCGGAUCGUAAAACUCUGUUAUUAGGGAAGAACAUAUGUGUAAGUAACUGCGCACAUCUUGACGGUACCUAAUCAGAAAGCCACGGCUAACUACGUG
rnacentral:rRNA from 1 species